rnacentral:rRNA from 2 species
GGGAAGUUCUAACAAGGUACCCGUAAAUCUUCACCUCGGGCCCCCCGCAUUGGGAGCGGCCUACGGGUGAGUAACGCGUGGGAACGUACCUUUUGCUACGGAAUAACUCAGGGAAACUUGUGCUAAUACCGUAUGUGCCCGAAAGGGGAAAGAUUUAUCGGCAAAGGAUCGGCCCGCGUUGGAUUAGCUAGUUGGUGAGGUAAAGGCUCACCAAGGCGACGAUCCAUAGCUGGUCUGAGAGGAUGAUCAGCCACACUGGGACUGAGACACGGCCCAGACUCCUACGGGAGGCAGCAGUGGGGAAUAUUGGACAAUGGGCGCAAGCCUGAUCCAGCCAUGCCGCGUGAGUGAUGAAGGCCCUAGGGUUGUAAAGCUCUGUCACCGGUGAAGAUAAUGACGGUAACCGGAGAAGAAGCCCCGGCUAACUUCGUGCCAGCAGCCGCGGUAAUACAAGGGGGCUAGCGUUGUUCGGAUUUACUGGGCGUAAAGCGCACGUAGGCGGAAUGAGUAUCGGGGUAAAAUCGCGGGGCUCACCCCGGAACUGCCUUUGAUACUGGAAUCUUGAUAUGGGAAAGGUGAGUGCAAUUCCAGUGAAGGUGAAAUUCUAGAUUCGGAGAACCCAGUGGCAAGGCGU